rnacentral:rRNA from 1 species
UACGUAGGGGGCAAGCGUUGUCCGGAAUCAUUGGGCGUAAAGAGCGUGUAGGCGGCCCGGUAAGUCCGCCGUGAAAGUCCAGGGCUCAACCCUGGAAUGCCGGUGGAAACUGCCGGGCUGGAGUCCGGAAGAGGCGAGUGGAAUUCCUGGUGAAGCGGUGAAAUGCGCAGAUAUCAGGAGGAACACCAAUGGCGAAGGCAGCUCGCUGGGACGGUACUGACGCUGAGACGCGAAAGCGUGGGGAGCAAACAGG